rnacentral:hammerhead_ribozyme from 1 species
GCACUAUUGACGAGUCCCGAACAGGACGAAACAGCCGUCAAGUGC